UACGUAGGGCGCAAGCGUUGUCCGGAAUCAUUGGGCGUAAAGGGCGCGUAGGCGGCCGACCAAGUCGGAGGUGAAAUCCCUCGGCUCAACUGAGGAACUGCCUCCGAUACUGUUCGGCUUGAGUCCCGGAGAGGGUAGUGGAAUUCCGAGUGUAGCGGUGAAAUGCGUAGAGACUCGGAAGAACACCAGUGGCGAAGGCGGCUACCUGGACGGGUACUGACGCUGAAGCGCGAAAGCUAGGGGAGCAAACAGG
rnacentral:rRNA from 1 species